GCGGCGGGAGGGGACGGCGCUUCGGCGAGCGGCGCCCCCGCGCGGCGCCUCUGCCGGAGCGCGGCCGCGGCCAGGCUUCCCCCGGCUCCUCCGGGGCCGAAGCGACCGCCGUGUGCUAAGCGCAGCUGGCGGAAACCUUCCUGUCUCUUACCGGCACCCCCAUCUCGCCUCCUCACCAGCCCCGGGAAAGGCGGGCGGGUUUGACUGGAGGCUGACGGGGCGCCCGGCCUGGUGCCCCUCAGGCGAUUCCCGCCGAAAGCUGCGUGUGCGCCUGAGGUACCGCCUAAUAACGCCUGAGGUACCGGCUAAUAACUUACAUACGCAACCGCUCGGCUUCCAUGCGGUAGUGCCGUAUUUCCUAUUCGGCUCUUUAUUUGGGAUACACGGGCGCGCUGAAUGCAGCCUCCAGGAUGAACGCCUUUUUGUGCCGGUUCAGCUGGGGUCAGGCAGAACCUGGCUGGUGCUUACGGUUCAUGAGAGAACUACCAUUUCUGUUAAUCGAGCCGUUCAGGUGACAUGAAAACUCACAGGCUAAGGGAUAACAAGUAAGAGUGUCGACUGUAAACCCCAGAUUUUUUAGAGUUAAUAAUAGCACUGCAGAGAAAGUAGAUAAGAGCAUGCUACUCGGUGCGGUGAUCCUGCGGGUAGCGACGUCAACUCUGGAACAAGUUUUUAAAUCUGAGGGGGACUAAUCUCAAACCGGUUAUGUGAAGUCAUUCUGAACUCAUAGGAGCUCCGUUAUUCAUGGAAGAACAGCACUUUGAAGCUCGCAGUGAGACAGUCAGUCUAAACAUUUGUUCCAGAGAAAGGAAAUUAAUAUUGGCAAUAGGAUUCAACCUCAGAAAUAUAUGAAAACACAUCAAGACCACAUGAAUGUGAUCACACUGUUAACAGGGUGAGACAAAUACUGCUUUAAACAGCAUACAGAUAUAUUGUGGAGCUUAAUGCAAGAAGAUAUUACAAAACCAGGAAUAGUUUAAGGAACAGAUUUAAGUAAACUAAUAAAGGAAAGGUCCAUCAGCAACUGUUACCCCUCUGAUUCUGUUACAGUCUGUGUUUCAAGCUUGCAAGCUCCCUCUUGCUGUGGUUGAGGAAAAUCUGAAGAGCUCUGCUUGGAUCUGUUUUUACUUGAUUUGAAUAGCGAACAGAUACAUGAGAUCACCCUCAUCCAAAUAAUGAUGUGUCAAAUGCAUUUUCAGUUUGUUAAAUAUGUGAUAAACCACAGAGUCCAGUCCAGAGCAUGCAAGCAGCACAAGAAGAUUUAUUAUUUAGCACCUUUUUCACAUUGUAAGAGACAAAUGCCACACCUGUAUCGCAUUACUAUAUAUAUAUAUAUAUAUGCCUACCUUUCCUGCAAGUAUUUUUAACAUCAAAGAUUCAAUGGGUAAAAGUCAGACCCUUGUGCCGCAAAGUAUUGCUCAAAAUCAUCUGAGCAUGGUGCAUUCUAGCCCUUUUGCAGAACUGGUCUAUGCCUGAAUGUGGAUAAAUUGGUUUUACGUUGAAUUGUUAGUGCUGUUUUUGUUCUUUAUGAGAACUGUAACUGUGGCAGCCCAGAGGUGAUUUCAGGGACCGUAAGUCUGUCUCUGUGCCUUCAAACUAAACACAUUGUGAUUCUGACAUGAUCAGUUUAACAGAUAAGAUUACACUACCGGUUUUUUAUGCAUAGAUAGCAUUAAAAUAAUCUAAAACUAUGGAAGAAUGAGGCAUGCUUUAAAUGAUUUUAAAUAAAGCUAUAUAAAAAAACAGCAUCGACUAGAGCCUCUCUAAUAAGUCAUUAAUUUAGGGAGGGAAGGUGUAGAAGGGAAUUGUGAAUGCCAGGUACCAAUCCACACAACUUCUGUGUGACUGCAGAAUUCAGCAUACCAAGGAGUAAUGCCAGGUUGUUUCCUGGAAGACAGGAGUUGUUGUUUAUUGCCAAUUGAGCACACUUUUGCCCCUGUAAAUGGGAAUGAUGUAAUAAGAAGAGACCAGCUAUUAUGAGAAGUUUUUACAGUUUUAAGUCAGAGCUGAAAACUAAAAUCAUCAACCCAAAACUCUUCUUAUCUCGCGAUAAAAGCUGUCAGCCCCCAAAGACCAGUACAAUUACGUGUAUCUCUACAGCUCUUUACAGAUUUAAUUGUAUCCUAUGUAUACUCUAGCUAGUGACUUAGCAGUAAUGUUUGUCACAGAUACAAACUUACUUUGGAAGGGUUGUUUCUUUCCAUUAUAAGAAGAGGUUGCACUGACUCCUAGAAUAAAGCAACUCUUACAGAAGUGUUUCCUGCAAUACCUGAGCAACAUAGCAUUAAUUUUAUUGAACAAGUGCUUUCAUGCCAUUUUUUCUUGUUUUCCAAAUUCAAAUUCAUUCCUGACAAUUUUUUUAACCUCAAGUAACGUGUUAAUACAGCUUAUCUUCCACAAUGCCUUGAAAGUUCUUCACCACUUAAUUGAUUUCUGCAUAUCCUAGUGUGUGAAGUAGAAGAGUUUUAGUCAAAAAUUACUGAAUUCUCAUUUUAUGGUCUAUUUAGCUUCAGAUAGGAGGACAAAUUGCUAAUUAGGUAAACUAUAAAAACUAUAAAAGAUGGCAAUUUAUAUUUUAUUUAUUUGUUUACUUCUUUUGUGCAGUGUUGGCUGUUCAAAGCCAUUCCUAUCAUAGGGAAGUGGCAAUGCAAGAAAACAUGACAAGAAAUUGUGAACAGAGGUCCCGCUGCCAUUCUGUUAGAAAGCAUAUCAAUGGCUUUUAUGAAAGAAAGGGAAUAUUUCCUGAAUGGUUCAAGUGCAUAGCAACAUGAUGUAAUUCAUAACAUAAGUGCAAUUUAUGAACAUUCCUCUUAUUCUGAAGCUUGGCAGGAACUGUACUUCACUGGCAAUUGAAGCUACAAUCAGCAUCUCCUAAACAGGUCACAGGUGGCUGGAGACCCUCUGCUGAAAUGCAGCCAUGAUACUCCAGCUUCAGGGCCAACACAUUACCUGCUGCAGAAGUUUAUAUGGAAAUGACUGAAAUAGGUCCAAUGGUCCAACAGUUUUGAUGCAGUCUGGGAAGUAUGUUAACUGCAGAGCUGCUGAACCAAACUGUUUUGCCAACCUUCCCUCAAGAACCUGUUUGGUAAGUCAAAGCUGUGCCAAGAAACAUCAGCAGUUCAUGGAAUUAAGUGGCUGACAGGCACAUAGUUACACUUCCAAAGUGUUCUUCAAUACAUUUGACCAGGGAGCACAUGGAGGCAGGAUAAUGCAUCCCAGGUGUGAUGCAACAGUUAAUUCCAAAACAUCCCAUGUAAGUCUGGUGGUGCUGGUGGUCUGGCUAGGUGAUGUCUGUAACCACCAUGUACUUAUGAGUGAGUGCCAUGGUUUAACCCCAGCCAGCAACUAAGCACCACACAGCUGCUCACUUACUCCCCCCCACCCAG